rnacentral:rRNA from 1 species
AUUUUCCACAAUGGAAAACCGACUUUUAUAGUAAAGUUUUUUUAUGUUAGAUUUUAAACAUAAAUAAAAAAUAGUGAACUGAACCAUCUAAGUAACUAUACUAAAAAAUCAACCGAGAAUUUUGUAAGUAGUGGCGAGCGAAAGCAAAAAUGACUUUAAAUUGUUUAUUAAAAAUUAUUUGUUUUAAAAGCUCCCCAAAAACUAGCUUUGAUAUAAUAAAAGCCCAAAGAAGGUAACGAGCCGAAAAAUUUUUAGUCCUGUAAAAAUAAAUAAGAAAUAAACACAUAAAAAUAAUAAAAUGCUACAAGUCAUGUAGUGUUUGAAUAUUGAGGGACCACCCGCAAAGUCUUAAAACUUUUUGGUGUUAUAUAGAGUACAGUACCGUGAGGGAAAGGUGAAAUAGUAUUUGUGACAAUGAAAAGCCCUGAAAUUUAACGCUAACAAUUUGUUGAAGCUUUUAAAAAAGUGACAGCGUUCCUUUUGCAUAAUGAAUCAACGAGUUUAUUUAAAUGGCAAGCUUAAGUU